GGUUGUAGCUCAGUGGUAGAGCACUUGCCCCACAUUUGUUAGAGGCACUGGGUUUAAUUCUCAGUAUAAAUA
rnacentral:tRNA from 1 species